UACGUAGGGGGCAAGCGUUGUCCGGAUUUAUUGGGCGUAAAGAGCGUGUAGGCGGCCAGACAGGUCCGUUGUGAAAACUCGAGGCUCAACCUCGAGACGGCGAUGGAAACCGUCUGGCUAGAGUCCGGAAGAGGAGAGUGGAAUUCCUGGUGUAGCGGUGAAAUGCGCAGAUAUCAGGAAGAACACCCGUGGCGAAAGCGGCUCUCUGGAACGGUACUGACGCUGAGACGCGAAAGCAUGGGGAGCGAACAGG
rnacentral:rRNA from 1 species